ensembl:lncRNA
CUCUGGCAAAAUAAGAUCCUGGAGUACAUAUCCCUGGAACUGGGCAAUGAUUUGUAACUCUUUUUUUAAUUCUGUCUGGCCAGAGUGUUAUAAAUCUGGCGCUCGCUUGUUAGCUUCACGCUAGGCAGCAAUAAUGUCCACAGUGUUUUAGUCCUGAUAAUUCUAAUUAUGGAAGCACUGAAGAAGCUGAACGCUGAGAAGAUGGACAAGGCUGGCCUCAAGUCCUGCACAGCACAGGGGAUUCUCUCUUUGUAGAGUUGAACCAUAAUUCUGUCUUUCACCAAGGCCAGCAAUGGAAGCAGCAGCCGAGGUGUAUUACUCCUGUGGUGCAGUGGUGGAAUCAAUGGAAAGAGGCCUGAUUUUGUCACCAGGUUUUCCAAACAACUACUACCCAGGGACACACUGCGUCUGGCAGUUUUUCAUUCCCAUGAGAACCCAUCUCAUCUUGGAAAUAUUUGACUUUGACAUUUUUGAGAGCUCUAGUGAAACUCCAACCCCCUGGGAUGGAUUUUCAGCCCCUGCUACAACAGAAAAUAAGGACAAGCCUUCUCUUGAGGAAAACCUGGACUUUGCUGUCCACACCACAAAACCCUCUCUCCAGCCCUCGACGUCGAAGGUGGCUCAGAAUCUGAGCAGCACCAGAGACCAGUCAAAGGACUUUGCUGGUCGCCUGGAUGAACUUCCAGGAACCAUCUCAAAAAAAAAAUGAAGCCAAACAAGCAUCUGAAGAAAACCAGUGGAAGCAGAUGAAGGAAUCCAAAGCAAUUACCAAGGCUCAGCCAGAGGAGCUGCUAUUCCCUGUGGCUGGUAGCGCCUCAGUGCAGAGGCAGAAUACCAGCAGGCUGGAAACAGGAGAGGAUUUGCAAGGGAAGAUGUUGCUUGCCCACCUAGCUGCUAGUGAGAGAGAUGAAGUCACAGCAGAGAGCUGGACACUUCCCUCAACAGCACUGCCCAUGGAAAUCUCCUCCAGCCCUCAGACAGCAGUGGAUGUCUGUCCCCAUGAUGUAUUAUACGUUUCUGAUCUCAUCACAUUUUCCUCUCGCUUCUGCGGCCCAAAUUCCCCUGUGAACAAGACCAUGGUCUUUGGGUCAUCUCUGGAAAUGGUUGAGGUUAUCAUGGAGCUGAUCACCACCACGGACCGGGGCCGAGGCUUUGCGAUGCUGUUCGAGUACAGGAACUUCAGUGACCCCAGCACUGUGGAUGCUGUGAGGCAGGAGAGGAAGGAAAACAUGAUGAUGCUGGCAAUUGUAACAGGGAUUGUUGUCUUUGCUCUUGCUUUGCUCUCUGCCCUCUGCAUAGUUUGCAGGCAGAGAACGUGCCCCAAAAGGAGCUCAUCCAACGCAUGCAGUGACCAGGAGAACAGGAUCCAGAACUCCACAGUCGAUGUCAAUGAGCUCCAGCUGGUGGUGCCAAGCCGGGAGAAUGAAAACAACAACCACUCUGUGAGCCGGGAGCAGGCGGUCACUUCCUGCAGAGGCAGCACAGAACGGUCUCCUCAGGACACUGACCCAGAUGUGCCCUCCUCCAUCUCUGCAGUGACCACUGAGACUGGGAGUGAUGAAGUGUUUAUCAUUUCUGCUGGACCUGGGACCAGUGGGCUGAGCUUUACCACCUACAGGAUACAGGACAAAAACCUGAAAAGAAGCGUCACAAGCCCGGCCUCUGUGUCUGACUGGCUGAGCUCCCAGCCCACAGCUGCAGGGGCAGAUGCUGCUGAGAAGGGGAACGUGCAGCUGGAGCAUCCCUGUCCCAGGCAGCGCACCUGGAGCGCCCGAACCUUCCACGACUUCCUGGCUCCAAUACCACAGCUACAGAAAAAAUGGUGCAGCUGGAGCACCAACAGCCCCUUCACAAAGCUGGUUGACAGCAGUGGUUUUUCUACAGCUGCAAGACCCCAAGGUGUGCCAACCAGAAAGGUAAUCUCAGCCACUGAGAUAGAGGGAGCAUCAGAGACUGUUUACUCUGAUUCAUCUGCCAGUAAUGCCUCAUAUCCCCUCACUCUGUCUGCACAGAGGCAGCGAAAGUUAACCUCCUGCAAUUUGAAGAAAUCCAGAUUUGGGAACCCUUAUUUUGGAUUUUUAGCCAGUUCCCCUGACAGCAAACAUAUGAGGUCCUUGGAUCCCUCAAGACAUCUAGGGACAGCAUCUCCAGUUAACAGCCAAAGCCCAAAAAAUCUUCUAGAGAGCUCCAACUCCUUGAAAAUCAACUUGGUCAACGGUUCAAAAACAAAGGAGCUUAUGGUAGAAACAGAUAAAAACAAACCAGUUUUUGUUAUUUCUGAAGAAGGGGAUGAUCAGCAGCCUCUGGUCCUGGCAGAACACCUCAGUCAGUGUGGAGAUCACCUGUCAGAGCAAAAUGCUGUGUAUGCUCCGGCCGUGCCAGAGAAGCAGCCGGUGGUUCUGACUGCGGAGAGGAACAGCUCUGCCCCCUUCACAUCGAGCCUUCCCCUCUGGGCAAAAUCCCCCACUUCACACAAAGGCCACGGGAAGGCCCCCAGCUCCUCCAGGGACCAGCAGAGCUCGGUGGGUGGAGAUGCCAACACUGCUGAGCCCCCACAGAACUGCGACACCCCCGCUGCUCCUGCGCUCUGCCAAGCUUCAGUCCACUGAUGUCCUGGGAAAGUCUGAAACGUCAGUUCCCAACCCCAGAGGGAACAGGGACAUGAGCAGAGCAGAAGCUGUGCCGAGCAGUUGAGUGUGGCAGUCACAUGUGGCAGCUUUGUUGAGAGCAGUCUUUGCUUCCCACAUGUUGGGACAGAGAUUACAAGGAUACAAACCACAGCACAGCACAAAUACCAUCUCCCCUUCAGCUCACUAAUCUCAUCUCUCUUCUCCUGCAUGAGACUUGGAUGUAGUUUGUACAAGAAAGAAUCCUCUGAAAAGGUACCUCAGACUGCAAAACCCCUUUUCUGGGAUGGGAAUGAAAGUAACCGGGGCCGGUCACACCGUGGUUUAUAUCUGAAAUGUCAAUCAGUCCCCUGUCCCUGUGGCAUCACUUGAGUCUUUCUGUUGGGAGCUCCGAGUUAGCUUCUGUUUAUAGCUCUGCCUGUACAAUCCAAGCCUUGCCAAGCCAAGGGCAAGAAUUCAGCCAUGCAUGUUUGCAUACAGUUUCGUAAACUUCAUUUUAAGUAUUUCAUAACUUCUGCAGUCUAGCACAAAGCUUACCAAGCAUUAGCAACUCUAAUAUUAAAAAGCAAGAUUAUCUCAUCUCCUAACUCUUUAGAGAAGUGUACAGACAAACUGAGCAGCCCAAUACCAGCUGCUUGUUCUAUUAAAGUCUGAUGUAGCUUUAUCUUUAUUAGGUCUACAUAGGCUUAGAACACCCCAGUCCACUACAUUAAAUGACUCCUCAUGGCAACAGGAGCAUGUGUACAAAAACACUGAAAUACUAGGAAUAGUCUUCAGCAUCCAACACUUGGAUAUUUGCAGCUGCUCUGAUCCUAUAUUCACCAGCUAUUUAUUGCUGGUAACGCACAUUGACUAGAGAGCUAUUCCCCUUCCUUUAGCAGGCAAGACUUGAAAUACAAAAUUAAGGUGAGGCAAACUUUGAGUGCUCACUUUCUUUAGAAAUUAACCCUACGUGGCUGUGCCUCCCUGAGUACAAAUCCAGGGCAUUCAAUGGAACACUGAACCAAAAGGAAGCUUGCUAUUGCCUUUAAUAACCCCAUCGGUAUUUUAAUUUCUUCCUGCUGGUAUUUUCCUAUCUUUGCAAGAGACUCCUGCAUGUUUGUCCCACAAUUCAGAAUUGUUUUUCUUUCUUAAAUGAAACAAUUCCCUCUGAAGCUGCAUUUUGCAGCUGAGACAGCACAUUGUUUUAAAGCAAUAGUAUGUCACAAAACAGGUGUCAGAAAGAAACCUUCUGCACAAGUCUUCCCCUUUAUUAGCUGCUGUGUGCAUCCAGUUAUCUUAAUCCUUCUCUGUGAAGGCAUUUAAGACUGAUUGCUAAAAUAUUUAACGGAAUUAUUUAUGAUUUCACCUGCUGCUACAGCUUCCAUUUGCCACCAUUAAUGUCUGAGAUAUGCAACACAAGACUAUAGGUUUUGCCUUAUAUUUUCUCUUUGUGUUUACACGUCUACCUAGACAUAGAAGCUGUGCAGCUGGUAGCAGUGGAAGCAAAAACACACUUGCCCUUUAGCAGCUGACUCAAACAUGAACAGCAAACAAGUCUCUGCAUUUAUUAUUUCCAGUCUGUGUUCAGUGCCAAAGUCUGGCUCCAUGUUGGUUGCUUCUUUUUUGGUGGGUAUUUUUUUUUGUCAUUGUUGUUUUAAAUUAAUGCUACUUGAUUCAAAGGGAAGAGAUUAAUAUAUUUAUGAUUUAAAAAAUAUUUAAAAGCCUUCAGUACUCUAACAACAACUUCCACUGCAUUAAAUUCAUACACAUUGUUCUGUUACUUACUAAAUUUCUAAAGUUUGAAAUACUAAAAUCUACUUUUGAAAAGUACUUGUGUUCAAUUAUUGACAAUGGUUACAUUUGAAGGGCUGGAAAAAGUGGCUUUUUCAAUAAAAGCAUGUUUAAUUACUCA